UUGGGGAGUAACUCAGUGGUAGAGUGCAUACCUAGCAUGAGUAAGGCCCUGGGUUUGAUCCCCAGUCCUGAAG
rnacentral:tRNA from 1 species